CUUAAUUUCCUUGCCUCCGUCACAAUAUGUAUGUAAGAAGGCACAGCUGAGCCCUUGGGGCUAUGUAUGAGAAGGGAGAGGGAAGAUCUCCUGGGCUGAGUGUGUUUAAGCAAUUUCCCUCUGUGCGGAUGUGGACUCCUGGGGUUGUUGGUAUCAGGUUCUCUACUGCUGCAAUGGGGAUUGCUGGGGUGAACUGGGAUUUGAAGAGGAUUGAAGCUGGCUCUGAGGAAGGUGACCUGAACCCAGCACCAGCUAGACGCAAGGUUGGGUUUGGUGCCAUCUGUGCCAAGGGUAGAUGACACUCACAAUGGCAAGCAAGGGGGAUUGAAGAGCUCUGCUCCUCGGCUUGUGAGACAGAAUGACCGCAGGUGCUGAGAGAGAGCAGGAAAUCAUCUUUGUAAAGCUGUCCAGAAAGCCUUGAAUUCAGCCUUAUCUGGAGGAUUACCCCACGCAGUUCAGUUCUUGGCAUUCAGCUCCUCUGCAGUCCCCAGCUUCAGCACAGGAAACUCCUUCACCUAGCUGCUGCCAGCAUGCUUUUGGCGACCCUGGCUGUCCCGUCAGCUGUUACAGGCCAUUAAAGGAUUUGUUUCUCGGCGUAUGAAAAGGCUUAAUUCAAUUCUCAUUCUCUUCUGGCAUUCCUCGGAGAGCCUUCUAGGCUGUCAUCUACUUCUGGCUUCGCUCAGACUCUGCAGUCCAAAGAGUCAUGUGCAGUGACCCGCCACCAUCCCUGCUUCAGACUCCAGAGUCAGGUAGUUAGAUGAUUCCCUUUCAUGUAAGUACUUUUUUAUCUUUCUUAUCUGUGGAGGGAAGCCAGCACAAGUCAUCUUUGAAGGUAAGGAAAAUGGAACCAAUGUUUUGUAUCCCAGAAAUCUCAUUAUUUUCCAACUAAUCUGCUGACCUCGAAUGCAGGGGUUUGGCAGUUUCUUUAAGGGCUGUUGCUAAACAGAGCAGAAGCAGGUCCAUCUUGGGAAAGUCUGCAUGGGUACAAUAUGAAUUUUCUGUAAGGUGAAUUCUUUGGGCUGUGUCAGAAUGAGACACUGUGGGUGACUUGCCUUUGUCUCAAGCUUGAUGGUAGUUGCCUUUGUCUCAAGCUUGAUGGUAGAUUUCACAAGAGGAAAAAAGUGUGUUUAAGAAGUUACUUGAUGCUGAUCUGUCCAGAGUUUUUUUCCCAGGCUGGAUUUAGGGAAGGAUUAUCUCAGAUUUUCAUUUAGUUCUGAAAUCCUGGGUAUUGGUUUUAUAAACUAAACCCCCUUCGCAGCAGGUUGCUUGUUCUGUAUUGUUGUUUUAGCUUGGUGCAUAGAAAGGAAUUUAAAUUCACUGACAGGGUGGGGCUAGCUCCUCGCUGGGGUAAAUCAGCAUAGUUCAGAUAUUUAAAGGCAGAUGCAUCAGUCCUGGCAGCCGAGGAUCUGGCUUACUUUGAUUAAAAUCUGAUGAAGAUUACUCAGCCUUACCAAGGGACUUGGAUUACCAUUCUAUAAAAAGAAGGGCAGGAGAGCAGAGGACAUUAAAUAUAAAAAUAAUCCAACGAAGGAUGUGAAGCUAAAAGCGUGGCACGUUGAACAAUGAUGCAAACACCCUACUGAAACAGGUGGAGGGCCGCAGGGCUGGUGGGUGCACGCAAGGCUGGAAGCUAGGUUUGAGUCAGAAAGACAUUGCUCUUGUCACAGCCCUGGUCUUGUCUUUUAAAGGCAGAAUGUUCAGAAAGAGAGCCUCGCUCCUUAGAAAAUCCCCAGGGGAGUCUUGCAGGAGAAGAAGUGGGUGACAAAUCCUCUGCCUCUGCUUCCUCGGGGACCCAGGCUAGUGCCAAAUCUCACUACAAAGAGGUGAUUAGAGCUGAGGAACAGAAAGUCAGCUCUUACAGAUCUGAAAGCUUGAAAUGUGCAUCAUCUUUAGGGUUUCUUACAGAGGUUGAACUUCACCUCUCCCUUCUAUCGCAGCGUUCGUUUUCCUGGUUCUUUGUUCCUUUGAAAGCAUGAAGUGUAUUUAGGGGCUGUUAUUACUCCAUGUGAUUGUGCUCCAUGGGCAAUGACCGAUAGAAGGGCUGCAAUGAGCCCCUUUUUUUUUUGGCCUUUUAAACGUUUCUGUCAAACCUUUCAGCACAUGUCUAGCUUUCCCAAGAUUUCGUAUCCAGUCCCUUAAAAUCAAUACAAUCUGGUCUUGCCUCUGCAGUGGAGCUAUUGAUAGGGAAGAUGCACUUGGGUCUUCAUCUAACUGCUUUUUGAAGCCCCUAAACCCAUUUGUCUCUUCUUUUGAUGGAGCUUGCUGCCUUGCUCAAUGGCUUGCUUGCAUAGGAAGCACCUUCCUUGCUGACCUCUGUUAAAAACGUGGAAGGUCUUCAAGUAGAGUUGCAGGACUUGUGAUUUGAGUGUCCUUCUUUACCCAGACCAAGGAGAACAGAGUGCAUGGUGCGUUGGCUGGUCUGGAAUCUGUCUAGGGUGGCUGGAAGAUGCUUUAAUGGUGUCAGAAGGCUGCGGGAGCCUGGACAGUGAGGUUGAGCGGCCUUAAGAACGUUGCUGACUUAAACUGACGCAUCUAAAUGCGCUGGAGGAAAGACGAGAGGGCUGUUUGGGGACCUCCUGGGUGAUUACAUACAUGGCUGGUCAGCGACAUCGCCUGAGUGCCCCGGCAGCUAUGCCAGUCUUCCAGUUUUCUUUCAUUGCAGUUCGGGUCGGAUGAGGAUAAGAUUGUGUUUUAAUAAGUGUUUGUUAGGGAGUGCUUCCCCCCCCGCCUCCCACCCGCAUGAAACUGUUUAUUUUCCUUGCAGUAACACGUGUGUUGCUCAGCUUCUGCUGUUCCAUGUGUCGUGCUCUGUUACUCUGCCUUGCUCGCAGCCGCAGAGCAGGGGGAACACUGCCAAGGCUUUUUCUGGGAAUUUGCUCUGGUCGUGCUGCUUCCCCGGGAGCACUCAGCGGAUGCAUGUUGUUUGCAGGGGGGGGGAACACUCAAAUGUCAGCAUCUGAAGGGAUCACGAAGGAAGCAAGGCGAGCACCAACUACUCUUCCACCUCUCAGAGGUGCCUGCAUACACACAGCCUUGGUAAGUGGUGGGCGAUGACUUGUUGAGAAAUGAUAUUGCUAAGCAGUAAAUGUGACCCUCUUGUGCUAUUUCAGAAAGAGAUUUUGCUUAAGGCAGCCUGCCCCAAAUUGCCAGCUGCAAAAAUGGGGGCUGCAUGUGGCAGUGAUACCCCAGCCAAGUUCACUCCUCUCUCUUGCUGAGAUGCAGUUGUAUUUUCACUUGGGCUGGAUGCGAAACAGUGCUUAAAACACCACAAAUUGAGAUGCAUUGGAGAACACCUUUUUAAGUCACCUGCCUUCUUGUUGCAGACACGAUUAUACCUACGCAGACUAAACUGCUGCAGGGAAGGCAGAGACGCAGUGCUCACUGCGGCUGCUUGGGCCGUUCAUUUGUUAGCAUGGGUUUGGAUUUCUGAUGACUCAGAAGGGAGCUCGGCUUCCUCUCAGCUAUUUGCAGAUCUAAAGAUCUGUUGUACUGUGGUUGUGAACCAGGACUCUGAACGUUGUGCAGAGCUGGGACCAAAAGCUGCCUCAGUCUCAGUAUGUAAAAGCAGUGAACUGGUUUCCACGUGUUGGCUUUCCACGUGUUGGGUUUGUAUGGGGCACUCACAAGCAACUUGCAGCAAAACAGUAAGGUGAGUGCUUGAGAGGGGUCCUUGCUGUUUGCAUGGGUUUCUUUCAGGCUAGGGUGAAGGUUAAAUAUUUCAAGCUUCUUGUUGAAGCCUCAGGAGUAGAAUAAGAAUGAGAUGAAUGCGGUGCAAAUGCCCUAACUCCAGGGGCAGGUGCUUCACUGCUGUGAGAGCUGGCAAUGCUAAAUAUCUCAUACUUUCUGACAUACAAUUUCUUCCAGACCUGGAGUGUUUUACCCAUUAUCCUCAUAUACAAAACCUGAGGAAUAUGUGGUGGUAAAGCCCCUCUUUGUGUGGUACAUACACGUGAGUCUUUUGUACCAGAUUUGUAACAGCAGCUGCAGAGCUCUUCACCAGAACCACAUGGUAAUGGUAAGCAGUGGUCACUGGUUUGCAUAGCUCCAUGGCCUGCAGCACCUCUGUGCACCCACUGCAGGUACGUAGCCUCAGCUCUGGGUACAGUACGUCUCUUCACGCUGUGCUCUGAGCUCCUGGGCUACACUUGAUCAUCUAUUCCUACGUGGGUUUUCCUACCUGGGUUUUCUCUUUCCAAGGUCUCAGACCCAGCUGUACCACCCUUCCCUCUUAUCUUCAGCUUGCUUUCCUGAGAAAACAGGGUUAAUGUGUCUGGCUCCCUCUUGCCCACCCCUAAUAACUUUCCAGCCUGAUGACUGAUUCCAGCUGUGUGUGCCAGAGAUCUGAAAGAUAAUGAGUUCCUACUGGCUUGAUAUAAAUAGAUGGCGAGGGGAAGACUUUAUCUUUUCCCCUCUCUGUCGGGAGAGUUCAUUCCUUAUCAGUCCAAGAGCAUCUGUGUGAGGUGAAACAAGAGAUGUUAUGAAUGCCUAUGGGGAAAGCUGCACUUGAAGCUGGUAUCCUACUGCGUCCUGGAGAACCCACCUGUGAUGUGGGGGUUCCCAUUGGAGGGGGCCCUUCCAGCCUCUGGCAGUUGGCUGGGGGCAGCUUUCCCUGCAGCAGCACUUGCCUCCCCCAGGCCACUCUGUUUAAUCUAUUUAAAGCUCUUUAAUCAAAACCUAUGUCUACGGACCCUGGUGUCAAUGGCCCAGCUUCCGGGUUUUUUUUUUUUUUAACUAUUUUAUGUCCACAGCAUGGGAUGGACUUAAUUGCCAAGGGCUGGAAGCGGGACUGCAAAGGUAUUUUAAUUACAUCUGAUUGCUGCAUUCUGCAGCCUUGCUCUGUCAGUUGUUCUACCACGGCACUGUGUAGAGCCCACUUGGACCAGCGCAGGCACAUUGGCUGUGUGUGGGCUGAUCACAGAGGAAAACAGCAGUACAUCGGUCUGGACGUCAUUGGGGCUGUAUCUUUUCUCUCUACUCUGACUUUAGGGCAACAGAUUCUUCCCCAUUAGAGUACUGUAGUCCUUCCAUAUCCACGUCACUUAGAAGCAGUAGUACCAAAUUCACCCUGCUCUAUUGCAUGGGCAUCACACAGGCAGAGCAGGAGUACUUGCUCUAAGGAGAACCUGCUUUAUUGCUCCAGACACAUCCCUGCAAGACUUUUCCCCAGCUCCUUUGUUGGUUUCAAGGCUGGUCAGCCUCAAGGGUCUUCUCUUUUUUUUCUGUCAAGUAGGAGUGCUCUUUUACUGUAAGGGAAGGAGCUGUCUCUAAGUCUAUUCGAGGGAGGCAGGAGGGAGUGAAACAAGAAAGCUGCUGGCCUCUCUGUGCUGACAUACUCAAAUUGGACCCUUGGGGGCUGGAUUGGUGCAUGGAGUAAGCUGAAUCCCAUGGAGGGACAGGCAGGAGCCCUGCAGGUAAGGUAAAGCACCUGCUUGGAAGUGUCUGCUCACCAAUGGAGAGCAGCUCCAGCCAAGCGUGUAUGAAACGAGGGUAACUAUUGCAUCUUCACCUGGCUCUAGCUGUAUUUUCAGUAGUGCUCAGGCCUGGCAGUAUGCGCACCUCUACCUGGAUGUUUUCUGGUGCAUUCAGCAAGUGGCAGCUCCCAGAGCCCAGACUCUGACCUGCCUUAUCAAAGUGUUCAGCACGCAGAAGGCAGAGAAAGGGCUUGAACCUGACCCAGGGCCUGGGGAAAGGAAAGUCCAAAGAGGAGGAGGGCAGAGGUAAGGCUGUUUUUGUGCAGCUGCUAAUAAGCACUUCCGUUCCUGCCAAAGCUUUUACUUCUGAUUUAAGAGGAACCUCAAUAUCCACAAUUUUUCUAUGUUGGAACGUGUUUGUGUUUUUAACAACGCUCAUCUGUGUUUCUUCCUCUUAAUAGAUACAACCCUGCUGCAGAUUAUAGACGUGUUUUGGUUGAGAUUCUCUGUGCUUGAUGCAUUGUCUGCCUGCAACGCAGGGCAAACUCUACUCCUCCCUUCUGGCCCGGCCUGUAAUGAUGGAUUAAGUAGAGACAGAAAACUUUGGGAACGUGAACUGAGCCCUUACAUUUCUUCAGUGCAAAAUGCUGUUGCCCUGUUCUUUUGAUGAGGAGAGGAAGGUGCUGAGUCUUUCCUGUCCUGGCCGUGUCCAUGGACCGAGCUGUCAUACCAUUCUGAGAGCUGGAGGAAGGAAAUGGACUGAGUCUGCCCUCAGAAUUCAGGUCCUUGUCCAGGACUCUGGGAACCUGCCUGCGUGUGAUUGACGGCAUCACGUGAGCGUGUAUGGGGCUGCAUCUCAUGCUGUCGGGUCAGAGAUUACCUCCAAGCAGCCAAUACUCAACAUUCAGUCAGAAAAGAUGCAAAGAAGCAGAGCCAUUCCCCUCUCUGUGUCAUCUGCCUCUGAGAGUGGGAGAGUGCUGGCAGAGCGCUACCGGGUCUGUACUGGUAUAGAGAGGAAGGCUCAGAUUUGAUGAUUUGUCCAUUAUCUGGUGGUGGAUACAGCCUAACCUGGGCUCAGAGCAUCCCAAGGUCUGUAUCCUAGUGCAGGAACUGGCUGCUGCUGCUCUCUUCUGAAUAGACAGCUUUCUCCAGCCUCACAGCAUGCUAAUGUAGGCCAGUCACCUUCACCACAACUCCUGGCGCAAGAUAUUCAGCAGACUUGAUGCUUCAUAGUAGGCUGAAUCUGGUAUAACCAAGGCAGAAUUUCUACCUGCCAGUAGUGAAGUAAUGCCCUGUGAUUUCAAGUGACCACUGGUUUGACAGCAGUAGUGAAAGGGAAAGGCAUGAAUAGGCCGGAUAUCAGGAAAACCUUCUCAGGAGUGAUGAGGCUGUGAAAUGGACUGCCCAGGGAGGUGGUGGAGUCACUGUCCCUGGAGGUGUUCAAGAACUGUGGAGACGUGGCACUGAGGGACGUGGUUUAGUGAGCAAUAAUGGUUGAUGGGUGGACAGCUGGAUUAGAUGGGUCCGACUAGAGGUCCUCCAAUUAGAGGUCUUUUCCAGUCUAAAUGAUUCUAUGAAAGCAGUCGACCGUUUUCUUGCAGUCUCUGAGGAGCUUGGAUAUGGUGUCUGAAACGAGCUAAGGAAGCCACCUAAUCUCUGAGCACAUCCACCUUCUGCAGCAUACACCCUUCCAGCCACAAAGAGGUCCUGAGUCCCUCAGUGGCUGCAAAGAACAGCAGGUAGAUGGAGCAGACAGAGAUGGAGAGCAUUCUUUUGUUGCUUUUUUUUUGGGGGGGGGAGUAUCGUUGAAGAAUCAGGGUGACAAAAAUAUUUUGAUGGAAGUGACUAUGUGAAAUAUCUUUUCAUUUUGAUUAUUUGAAAAACAAAAACUGUUCAUGGGUUUUAAAAUUCAUGUCCCCUCCGGGUUGCUUUGUUUUGUUUUGUUUCUUAUUCCUUCUCCCUUAUUCCUCAGAGGAAGCCAUCCAAACCUACACGGUGCGUCAUUUCUUGAGGAAAUGCAGUGUGAUCUUUUUUUCCAGUUUAACCUGGGCUGAAAAAUCUUCUGGUGUUUCAUUUGCCUGAGAAAUCAGAAAAAAAAAGCUUGGAUGAAACAGGAAUCUGACUGGUUCACAGGGAACCUUCUUGGUUUUGGAGACCCAUUUGGGUGGGGUAGCUGCAGGAGCUCUUUGCUGUGCAGGUUGGGGAGGAGGUGAUGCCAUCUUUGCCUGGGCCAUACUUUGUGCCCAAUGCCUUCUCCAGGGGUGAGGGGCAUAAGGGGUGCAGAGCUGUGUCUUGGUUGCAGCAGGGAACUGCUACCACUGAAGUAUGAUUCUCAGCUUUCUGGAGUUGUGGAAAACAUCUGGACAAUGGUUGAAAUUGGAAGAGCGAAGGGCUAUCCUGGCUUUUGAGGGCAUAUCAUGGGAUGUCCCGCAGGUGGCUUGUUGGAGGUGAACCACAGAGGGAGGACUGCACUGGAGAGGCAUAGAGGCUCACAUGGGACGGGAGUGGUGGCAACUGCCUGUAUGCCUGAAAGCAGGGCAAGCAGUGGGCUGGGGGUGGAGGAGACCACCUCCGCCUGUUGCUGCCAUCUCCACGAGCUGCCAGCUCUGCCGUGUAGCUUUGCCCAGAUCUGCAGUAGAGCUGCUCAUCCCCAGCCCUGCCAUCCCUGUGCCCCACAUGCUGCCUCUCCUAUAAAUAGCCGGAUGGGAAGCAGAGCGCAGAGCCGCCGCAGAUGGCCCCCAGUUCCACGCGCACUCAUGUGUGAGAUCCCAGAGAGGGGCUGUCAAUUCCUUGCCUACAGCCACCCAUGCAACCUCAUUAAGGAUGGUGUCGUCUUCCUUAACCCCCAUCGCCCCCUCCCUCCCCACUUCAACGUGCCUCCAUUUGAGCACCCUUAUUAAACGUGCACUUCUAAGCAAGGAGCGCUGACUUCCCCUUAAUUGAGGCAUAAUAAUUAGAGCAUUAACACAUUAGGAGAGUGAGACAGCAUGUUUAGCUUUUGUGAUUAAUUAUCUGAGGAUUGUAAUAAGUUGUUAAGACAUUAAUUACUCUGGCAUGUUUAUUGCUCUUUAUUGCAGAACUGACACUUGGUGGAAGAGUUGCUGGUGUGCCUGGCGGUGCACCGUGAGGUGGGCUGGCCAGGGGAGACCUCUGCUCCCCCAUAGACACUGAGCUGCUGCUUGGGAAUGGAUCUAGGGGAGCAGAAACAGCUCCUGAACCUCCAGCAGGACACCUCGGGAUGGAAGUGGUGUCUGAAUCUCUUAGAGUCGUAGGAUUAUGAAGGUUGGAAUAAAACACUGAGAGCAUCAGCCCAUCCCCACCGUGCCCACUAAACCAUGUCCCUCAAUGCCGCGUUCUCCCUCAUCUUGGGGCAGCCUGGGAGCUGGAAGGCUUAUUUUUAUGGAUGGUUUCAGCUGGAUUUCUCUCUUCUUUCAAACAAAGUGUUUCCUCUCGGAUGGUUUGAGCCUGCCCUCAUUUGGAUCUUUGUUUUUGCAAAUCCAAGUCAGCGUGGCUCAUUGUGCCUGGAUCUGAGGAGGAUGGCUGUCUGUUAACGACAAGCUGAAGUUCAGCGUGUCGGCGGUGGUCAGGGAGUGAACCAGGACCCCAGUGGCCUCGCUUGGCUCUUGAUCAGAUGAAUUUUCUUCUGGAGAGCUGGGAGGUGGGUUAGGGAAGGCUGUUGCUGUGGCAGCAGGAGUGGAUCAGCCCUCUGCAGCCUGUUCUUCACACAGCAAGCUGCUCAGCGACCUGUCAGAGCUGUGCUGAUCAGAUGGGGGCUGAAGGCAGAGUUCAGAGCAGGAGGAUGGGUGGGUCCAUGUGCUGCUGUGACAGAGAAAAAAGGAAGCAGGAGGCUGCGAUGGGCCUGUUCCAGCCUUCUGCUUUUCCCAUGAGUUGCACAGUGCCAGAGUCUUGCUGUCCAGCUCUUUGGGUGGGGGACAGCACAGGAGAAAUGGGGGGAAAUGGAGUAACAGCCCCAGCCACUGGCAUGGAGAAUAAAACUGGGAAAAUGGUGAAAGUCGAGAAGGUGAGAAAGCUGUGAGUUUUGUGUGUUUGCUGUUGGUUUGAUAUUGGAUGGCCCCAUCCCUGCCGACAGCCAAGGUCAGGCUGGAUGGGCUCUGAGCACCACUAGGGCUGUGAGUGUCCCUGCUCAGUGCAGGAGGGUUGGACCAGAUGGCCUCUGAGGGUCCUUUCCAGCUCAAAACGAUGCUGUGGUUCCUUGGGGAGCCCUAGAGCUGAAAUGUCUGGUUUCCAGCCUAUGGCAGUGCCCUUGUGGCUUUGCAACACGUGCUUGUGUCUUGGGGUAGCAGCCAAGGGAGUGGGAGGGGGUCUUUAAACGUGAAGACCCUGUCCGGUUCGCCUUUCCCAAGGACAGACUGUCUCACUGUGGCUCCCACCAGCUCAAUCUGCUGUCACUGUGUCACUGGCACUGGUGGCCAGGGAGCUGCACAAGGCACUGAAUGCCCUCCUCGUGUGCGAGCUGGGAUCCAUCUUGUGUCAGCUGCCUUCAGCACCUCCGAGCCCACACUGCCUUGCUGAAGCCCAGCCUGAAUAUGGCAUUUGCUGUCAGGUGGCUGAUUUCUGCCUGCAGAAUAUGGAGAGCGUCAGCCUGGCAUUUCCCACUUGCCUCCUAGGGACAAAGCAGGUCAUGACUUCCGUGUAUUAUCAUUAAAAAGAUAAUUUCCUCUAGAUGUGUGCAAUAAGACAAUGGUGCUGACCUGUGAUCCUGGCAUUGCACAGCAUUAAUGAUUUCCCUUUGCAGGUAAUAAGCAGCAAAUGUACACAUUUUGGGGAGAUCUGAAUUAGUUUUUUUCCCUCCUUUUAAGACUGCUGUCUUCCUAGGCCAGACUUAAUUAGCAGACCUCAUUAUUUCCUGAAAUGUAACUUGACUUCCAUUGAAUGAGAAUUGUUCAGUGGAUGGGGAGCAGCAGAGCGGUGCUGCAAUAUUCAUAUUGUUUAAAUUGCAACAUUAACAUUUCAUGCCGCUCUUGGCAUAUUUUCAGGUGCGGCCCUUUAGCUCAAUGCAGUGCUGUGAAAGGUUGGAUCAGAACAAUUAGGAUACAGCGACUGGAUUUCUGGAUUAUUAUUAUUAUUAUUUUUUUUUUAAGCAACACAAGCUUAGAUUCAAUGCCCAUCACUCUAUUUGUUUGGCAGAACAGGGAUUCCAGCGCCCCUGAAGUAAAUGCUUUUCUGGAAUAAAGGAUGUGCUGUAGCACAUGCUCACCUCCUCUCUUAGCAGAGAUGAAGCCCUGCAGGUACAUGCAGUACGUGAUUCGCAGGGCUGGAAGCACCUCCUGGGACUUGACCUUCACUAGCUAAAUAGGAGAACUCCCAAUAAUGCUUCUGGCCACCUAGGCCACAGUCGCACACAAAAAGGCUGUUUCCCACUUUGCCCUUGUUCUUGGAUGCCUCAGGCUGGAGGUGGCACUGUAGUAAUGCCCAGGUCCAAGCGGAUCCUACAUGAGCACGUGGAUUGCACUCCCUAUCUCCAAACAGCCCGUGGGCCUUGGUCCUGCACAGGGGCUCCAGUGACCUUUGCUGCCUUGCCCCAUAGUGUGCUUUCCAGUAGUUUUUCCUGUACUGGAGUUCAGUGUCAAUGAUGGGAGUUAAUGUCAAGGAAUCAUAGAAUACCUGGGUUAGAAGGAACCUUAAAGCCCACCCAGUCCCAACCCUACAGUGGGCUGGCUGCCCCUCCCCCACCAGCUUAGGCUGCCCAAGGCCCAAUCCAGCCUUCCUCGAGCACCUCCAAGGAUGGGACACACGUCUGGGAUUGCCAUGAACCAAGUGCAACACCUUGAAUUUGGCCUUGGCAGUGUCAAGAACAACUCCAGCUUCCACCCUGGAACAACUUAGUUAGGGUCUCUGACUUCAGCCAACCAUGCCUCCCAUUUGUAACGUGUGCAGUGGGAUCCAUGACAUCUUAUCUCCCAUGGAUACGUAGCUUGGGUCAGGGUUCUCUGGUAUCUGGUAAGCUGCUUGUGCUGAACGGAACACCUCCUCUCGUGGGUUAUUUAUAACAUCCUGCUCUCCCACGCAGAUUGUCUGGUGUCUAAUAGUGGAUGAUGCACUACAGUUUGCAAGGUGCUAAUAAUCUCUCUCCUCUGUUUGACAGUCUGUUCCCAUGAGAUUUAUAGACUCUGACUGUCCCUGAGACCUCUGCCUCUCUGUCAGAUCAGGCUGAAAUCUGUUCUCAGUGUCAGAAGCUGCUGCCAAGCAGGCAGGGGAUGGACUGAUGCGUGUGUUUUGCAUCCCAUAAGAACUCAAGCACAGACCUGGGGGGCGAUGGGAGCUCUGAUUGCCAACUUGUGGGUUCAGGAAGGUGAGCCUCCAGGAGAAGGGCCGUGCCCGCAGCCAUCCUGCAUGAGAUGCCGUGCUGCGGGAUGCUCACGGGCUGCACUUCGUGUUCCCAUCGCCUGCGGUGACCAUCACAAGCGGCGCAGCCCCUGUGGGAACGGCCCCUGAGGACAAUAAACGAGCCAGCCCCGAGCUCCAGGCUGCUGUGAAGAAUUGCCUGGCUAAAGGAUAAUGAAUACCGCAGCAGGAGACGGAGCGUUUCUCCGAGGCCAUCCAUCCCCUUUAUCACCCCGCUAACAAGCCCCUGAGCGACUUCAGAGAGGCUUCUGCAGAGCAGCUCAAUCCCUCACCGUGCUGGCGGCUGGGUGCUGGGGGCUCUGCGGGAAGCCACAGCCCCAUCCCACAGAGCAACCACCAGUGCCCUCCAGGGGUCCGUGUAGUGCCAAGGAGGGGCAGAAGAGCCAGGCAUCCUUUUUUUUUCCAAGGCACUUUUGGGCCCUGCAGCACUCUUUGGAGCAUUGCUUUACCCAGCUCCCAGUCUGGCAAAGAUUUCUGAGGUCUGUGCGAGGCUCAGGAGGAGUUUAGUGCUGCUGGCCAGGAGGUGAGUUGGUUCUGCUUCACUUGCAGCACAGCUGAGUCUGUGCACGAGCCCGAUGCAGGGCAGAGAGGGCAGGAGCGAUGUGCUCUUCCUAAGAGCUAAUAAAAGCUGAUUCCUCCCAUAGCUCCGAGCCAGUGGGAAGCAUUAGUGGCUGGCUGAGUGCCUCCCACGCUGUGCAGCGUGCUGGGUGCUUGUCCUCCUGCGGAGGGAAAGGCAUCUCAGCAAGAACUCAGGCAUCCCUCCUAGGAGGGCAAACCAGGCGUGUAGCUGGGCAGCUGGGCAUGGGAGGCGAGUGGGAGCGCGUGGCACAAAAUUCCCAUUUCUGAGCAAGUUCUCCUGCCUAUGCUCAGGGCUUGGGGUGGGAGCGGCACACUCAUGGCCUGACUGGUGUCCAAAAAGCCCCGGUGCUGAAUGCCUCCAUUGAGAAGCUUACGUGUACGUCAGCAUCCCAAGCGUGCUGGUAUGUGGUGUGCCCACCUGCCUGAGUGUGUCUGGGGCACCGCAUGCAGUGUGUAGGCACUCAGCAGGGCUAAUUGCCAGUAAUUGGAAGGCUUCUUUUGUCUCCUCUUUCCUGCAUUAUUUUGCCUUCUCUUCCAG
rnacentral:lncRNA from 1 species